rnacentral:lncRNA from 1 species
CGGCGUGGGACGUUUGCGCUUUUUCAUAGGACAUUUGCGCUUAUUUUAUGGACACUUGCGCUUCAAAUCAUAGGACAUUUGCGCUUUUUAAAAAAGGGCAUUUGCGCUUUUAACAUAGGACAUUUGCGCUUUUGCAAUAUUUGAUUUAUUUUUCUUUAAUCCGGGGUUUGAACUGGCAUGUGUGACCUGGCAGAGUUUAAGUAAUAUUUUUUUAAGUUUAAAAAAUCAUUUAAAAGCACAUUUCAUAGAACAUUCAUGUCAUAGCACAUUGACAUGUGUUUAAAAGUCUAUAUAUACUGAGCUAAACGUAAACAUACUAAAGACAUACAAACACGUACAGUCAUCACAGGUCAGUUUUUGCUUAAGA